UGAAUAUACCGGUUCUCGUUAGAUCACCGAAGUUAAGCAUCAUUGGGCGCGGUCAGUACUUGGGUGGGUGACCACCUGAGAACACCGCGUGCCGUU
rnacentral:rRNA from 1 species